GAUGAACGCUGGCGGCGUGCCUAACACAUGCAAGUCGAACGAAGCACCUUACCUGAUUCUUCGGAUGAAAGUUUGGUGACUGAGUGGCGGACGGGUGAGUAACGCGUGGGUAACCUGCCCUGUACAGGGGGAUAACAGCUGGAAACGGCUGCUAAUACCGCAUAAGCGCACGAGGAGACAUCUCCUUGUGUGAAAAACUCCGGUGGUACAGGAUGGGCCCGCGUCUGAUUAGCUGGUUGACAGGGUAACGGCCUACCAAGGCAACGAUCAGUAGCCGGUCUGAGAGGAUGAACGGCCACAUUGGAACUGAGACACGGUCCAAACUCCUACGGGAGGCAGCAGUGGGGAAUAUUGCACAAUGGGGGAAACCCUGAUGCAGCAACGCCGCGUGAGUGAAGAAGUAUUUCGGUAUGUAAAGCUCUAUCAGCAGGGAAGAUAAUGACGGUACCUGACUAAGAAGCUCCGGCUAAAUACGUG
rnacentral:rRNA from 1 species